CAACCAGUCUAGUAAAGCUACAUUAAAGAGUAGGAGGAGGGAGAACCAGUCUAGCAUAGAUAUAUUAGAGAGGAGGAGGAGAGAGAACCAGUCUGGUACAGCUACAUUAGAGAGGCGGAGGAGGGAGAACCAGUCUAGUAUAGCUACAUUAGAGAGGAGGAGGAGGCAGAACCAGUCAAGCAUAGAUACAUUAGAGAGGAGGAGGGAAAACCAGUCUAGUACAGCUACAUUAAAGAGGAGGGAGAUCCAGUCUAGUAUAGCUACAUUAGAGAGGAGGAUGGAGAACCAGUCAUGUACAGCUAUAUUAGAGAGGAGGAGAGAGAACCAGUCUAGUAUAGCUACAUUAGAGAGGAGGAGGAGGGACAACCAGUCUAGUAGAGCUAUAUUAGAGAGGAGGAGGGAGAUAAGUCUAGUAUAGAUACAUUAGAGAGGAGGAGGGAGAACCAGUCUAGUACAGCUACAUUAAAGAGGAGGAGGAGGGAGCUCCAGUCUAUGAUAGAUACAUUGGAGAGGAGGAGGAGGGAUAACCAGUCUAGUAUAGCUACAUUAGAGAGGAGGAGGAGGGAGAACCAGUCUAGUAUAGCUACAUUAAAGAGGAGGAGGAGGGAGAACCAGUCUAUUAUAGAUACAUUAGAGAGGAGGAGGGAGGACCAUUGUAGUACAGCCACAUUAGAGAGGAGGAGGAGAGAGAACCAGUCUAGUGCAGCUACAUUAGAGAGGAGGAGGGAGAACCAGUCUAGUAAAGCUACAUUAAAGAGUAGGAGGAGGGAGAACCAGUCUAGCAUAGAUACAUUAGAGAGGAGGAGGAGGGAGAACCAGUCUAGUAGAGCUACAUUAGAGAGGAGGAGGUGGGAGAACCAGUCAAGCAUAUAUACAUUAGAGAGGAGGAGGAGGGACAACCAGUCUAGUAUAGAUACAUUAGAGAGGAGGAGAAGGGAGAACUAGUAUAGUAUAGAUACAUUAGAGAGGAGGAGGAGGGAGAACCAGUCUAGUAUAGCUACAUUAGAGAGGAGGAGAAGGGAGAACCAGUCUAGUACAGCUACAUUAGAGAGGAGGAGGAGGGAGAACCAGUCUAGUACGGCUACAUAAUAGAGGAGGAGGAGGGAAAACCAGUCUAGUAUAUAUACAUUAGAGAGGAGGAGGGAAAACCAGUCUAGUAUAGAUACAUUAGAGAGGAGGAGGAGGGAGAACAAGUCUAGUAUAGAUACAUUAGAGAGGAGGAGGAGGGAGAACCAGUCUAGUAUACCUACAUUAGAGAGGAGGAGGAGGAGGAGGAGGAGGAGGAGGAGGAGGGAGAACCAGUAUAGUACAGCUCCAUUAGAGAGGAGGAUGGAGAACCAGUCUAGUAUAGCUACAUUAGAGAGGAG
ensembl:lncRNA